rnacentral:rRNA from 1 species
AUGAUGGGUCCGCGUCCCAUUAACUAGUUGGUGGGGUAACGGCCUACCAAGGCGACGAUGGGUAGCCGGCCUGAGAGGGUGGCCGGCCACACUGGGACUGAAACACGGCCCAGACUCCUACGGGAGGCAUCAGUGGGGAAUCUUCCGCAAUGGGCGAAAGCCUGACGGAGCAACGCCGCGUGAGUGAUGAAGGCCCUUGGGUCGUAAAACUCUGUCUUUGGGGAAGAAA